CACACCGCCCGUCGCUUCAUCGAAGUUGGUUCUUGGCGAGGUGGUGCGCUAACCCGCAAGGGAGGCAGCCAACCACGGUGGGAUCAGCGACUGGGGUG
rnacentral:rRNA from 1 species